AGAGUUUGAUCCUGGCUCAGGACGAACGCUGGCGGCGUGCCUAAUACAUGCAAGUCGAGCGAACUUGCGGGAGCUUGCUCCUGAAGAUUAGCGGCGGACGGGUGAGUAACACGUGGGCAACCUGCCUGUAAGACUGGGAUAACUUCGGGAAACCGGAGCUAAUACCGGAUAACUCUUUUCCUCACAUGAGGAAAAGCUGA
rnacentral:rRNA from 1 species